rnacentral:rRNA from 1 species
AUGGCCAAGCCGACGGUGCCUCGGAUGAAGCUGGGCUCGCAGGGGCUGGAGGUCUCCGCGCAGGGCCUCGGCUGCAUGGGCAUGUCCGCCAACUACGGCCCGGCGAAGCCGGACGAUGACAUGCUCGCGCUCCUCCGCCACGCCUUCGCCGCCGGCGUCACUCUCCUUGACACCUCCGACGCCUACGGCCCCUUCACCAACGAGCUCCUUCUCGGAAAGGCGCUCCAGGGAGGGUUGUUGGCGACCGGUGGGGCGGGAGUGCAGGUGGCCACCAAGUUCGGGGUCAAGUUCACCGAGGCGCCGCCGGGGUGGGAGUUCUGCGGCUCGCCGGCGUACGUCCGGCAGGCGUGCGAGGCCAGCCUGCGGCGCCUUGGAGUCGACUGCAUCGAUCUCUACUACCAGCACCGCAUCGACACCCGUCUGCCCAUCGAGAUCACGAUCAGCCUUGUUCCUGAGUCCAGUUCAGAUAUGGGCGAGCUGAAGAAGCUGGUGGGGGAGGGCAAGAUAAAGUACGUCGGCUUGUCGGAGGCCUCCGCUUCCACCAUAAGAAGAGCCCACGCCGUCCAUCCCAUCACCGCCGUGCAGCUCGAGUGGUCUCUCUGGACCAGAGACUCUGAAGAGGAGAUCAUCCCUACCUGCAGGGAGCUUGGCAUCGGCAUAGUGGCAUACAGUCCCCUUGGCAGGGGAUUCUUCGGUUCAGGAGCAAAGUCCGCAGAUAAUUUCUCAGAACGCGAUAUCCGCAAGAAUCUGCCUCGUUUCCAGGCCGAGAACCUGGAGCACAACCAGCGGAUCUUCGAGAGGGUGAACGAGAUGGCGACGAGGAAAGGAUGCACGCCGUCGCAGCUCGCUCUGGCCUGGGUUCACCACCAGGGACCAGACGUGUGCCCGAUCCCGGGGACUACCAAGAUGGACAACUUCGACAGCAACCUCGCGGCGCUCGCACUCAGGCUUACGCCGGAGGAGAUGGCUGAGCUAGAAUCUUACGCUGCCGCAGACGCUGUCAAAGGGUUCAGGACCUACAAUGCAGCUAACACGUGGAUGAGCUCGGAUACUCCUCCGCUCGAGUCGUUCAAGGGAGAGUGA